CCUACGGGUGGCAGCAGUAGGGCAUCUUUCACAAUGGGCGAAAGCCUGAUGGAGCAACUCCGCGUGCAGGCUGAAGGCCUUCGGGUUGUAAACUGCUUUUAUUAGCGAGACAAAUAAUGGUAACUUAUGACUAAGGAUCGGCUAACUACGUGCCAUCUGCCGCGGUAACACGUAGGGGGCAAGCGUGAUCCGGAUUUACUGGGUGUAAAGGGAGCGUAGGCGGCAGAGCAAGUCUGGAGUGAAAUGCAUGGGCCCAACCACGGAACUGCUCUGGAAACUGUGAAGCUGGAGUGCAGGAGAGGUAAGCGGAAUUCGAGGUGUAGCGGUGAAAUGCGUAGAUAUUAGGAGGAACACCAGUGGCGAAGGCGGCUUACUGGACUGUAACUGACGUUGAGGCUCGAAGGCGUGGGGAGCAAACAGGAUUAGAUACCCGGGUAGUC
rnacentral:rRNA from 1 species